rnacentral:rRNA from 2 species
UGUUUCGGCUAGGGGGUCAUCCCGACUUACCAACCCGAUGCAAACUGCGAAUACCGAAGAAUGUUAUCACGGGAGACACACGGCGGGUGCUAACGUCCGUCGUGAAGAGGGAAACAACCCAGACCGCCAGCUAAGGUCCCAAAGUCAUGGUUAAGUGGGAAACGAUGUGGGAAGGCUCAGACAGCCAGGAUGUUGGCUUAGAAGCAGCCAUCAUUUAAAGAAAGCGUAAUAGCUCACUGGUCGAGUCGGCCUGCGCGGAAGAUGUAACGGGGCUAAACCAU